rnacentral:rRNA from 1 species
UGGGGAAUUUUGGACAAUGGGCGAAAGCCUGAUCCAGCAAUGCCGCGUGUGUGAAGAAGGCCUUCGGGUUGUAAAGCACUUUUGUCCGGAAAGAAAUCCUUGGCUCUAAUACAGUCGGGGGAUGACGGUACCGGAAGAAUAAGCACCGGCUAACUACGUGCCAGCAGCCGCGGUAAUACGUAGGGUGCAAGCGUUAAUCGGAAUUACUGGGCGUAAAGCGUGCGCAGGCGGUUUGCUAAGACCGAUGUGAAAUCCCCGGGCUCAACCUGGGAACUGCAUUGGUGACUGGCAGGCUAGAGUAUGGCAGAGGGGGGUAGAAUUCCACGUGUAGCAGUGAAAUGCGUAGAGAUGUGGAGGAAUACCGAUGGCGAAGGCAGCCCCCUGGGCCAAUACUGACGCUCAUGCACGAAAGCGUGGGGAGCAAACAGGAUUAGAUACCCUGGUAGUCCAGCGCCCUAAACGAUGUCAACUAGUUGUUAGGGAAUUCAUUUCCUUAGUAACGUAGCUAACGCGUGAGUUGACCGCCUGGGGAGUACGGUCGCAAAGAUUAAAACUCAAAGGAAUUGACGGGGU